UGCUGGAGGUAUCAGAAGUGCGAAUGCUGACAUAAGUAACGAUAAAGCGGGUGAAAAGCCCGCUCGCCGGAAGACCAAGGGUUCCUGUCCAACGUUAAUCGGGGCAGGGUGAGUCGACCCCUAAGGCGAGGCCGAAAGGCGUAGUCGAUGGGAAACAGGUUAAUAUUCCUGUACUUGGUGUUACUGCGAAGGGGGGACGGAGAAGGCUAUGUUAGCCGGGCGACGGUUGUCCCGGUUUAAGCAUGUAGGCUGAUUAUCCAGGCAAAUCCGGAUAAUCAAGGCUGAGGUGUGAUGACGAGGCACUACGGUGCUGAAGUAACAAAUGCCCUGCUUCC
rnacentral:rRNA from 1 species